UGGGGAAACCCAGUGUGAUUCGUCACACUAUCAUUAACUGAAUCCAUAGGUUAAUGAGGCGAACCGGGGGAACUGAAACAUCUAAGUACCCCGAGGAAAAGAAAUCAACCGAGAUUCCCCCAGUAGCGGCGAGCGAACGGGGAGGAGCCCAGAGCCUGAAUCAGCAUGUGUGUUAGUGGAAGCGUCUGGAAAGGCGCGCGAUACAGGGUGACAGCCCCGUACACAAAAGCGCAUGUGCUGUGAGCUCGAUGAGUAGGGCGGGACACGUGGUAUCCUGUCUGAAUAUGGGGGGACCAUCCUCCAAGGCUAAAUACUCCUGACUGACCGAUAGUGAACCAGUACCGUGAGGGAAAGGCGAAAAGAACCCCGGCGAGGGGAGUGAAAAAGAACCUGAAACCGUGUACGUACAAGCAGUGGGAGCACCCUUUGGGUGUGACUGCGUACCUUUUGUAUAAUGGGUCAGCGACUUAUAUUCUGUAGCAAGGUUAACCGAAUAGGGGAGCCGGAGGGAAACCGAGUCUUAAUUGGGCGUUAAGUUGCAGGGUAUAGACCCGAAACCCGGUGAUCUAGCCAUGGGCAGGUUGAAGGUUGGGUAACACUAACUGGAGGACCGAACCGACUAAUGUUGAAAAAUUAGCGGAUGACCUGUGGCUGGGGGUGAAAGGCCAAUCAAACCGGGAGAUAGCUGGUUCUCCCCGAAAGCUAUUUAGGUAGCGCCUCGUGAAUUCAUCUCCGGGGGUAGAGCACUGUUUCGGCUAGGGGGCCAUCCCGGCUUACCAACCCGAUGCAAACUGCGAAUACCGGAGAAUGUUAUCACGGGAGACACACGGCGGGUGCUAACGUCCGUCGUGAAGAGGGAAACAACCCAGACCGCCAGCUAAGGUCCCAAAGUCAUGGUUAAGUGGGAAACGAUGUGGGAAGGCCCAGACAGCCAGGAUGUUGGCUUAGAAGCAGCCAUCAUUUAAAGAAAGCGUAAUAGCUCACUGGUCGAGUCGGCCUGCGCGGAAGAUGUAACGGGGCUAAACCAUGCACCGAAGCUGCGGCAGCGACACUGUGUGUUGUUGGGUAGGGGAGCGUUCUGUAAGCCUGCGAAGGUGGCCUGUGAGGGUUGCUGGAGGUAUCAGAAGUGCGAAUGCUGACAUAAGUAACGAUAAAGCGGGUGAAAAGCCCGCUCGCCGGAAGACCAAGGGUUCCUGUCCAACGUUAAUCGGGGCAGGGUGAGUCGACCCCUAAGGCGAGGCCGAAAGGCGUAGUCGAUGGGAAACGGGUUAAUAUUCCCGUACUUGGUGUUACUGCGAAGGGGGGACGGAGAAGGCUAUGUUGGCCGGGCGACGGUUGUCCCGGUUUAAGCGUGUAGGCUGGUUUUCCAGGCAAAUCCGGAAAAUCAAGGCUGAGGCGUGAUGACGAGGCACUACGGUGCUGAAGCAACAAAUGCCCUGCUUCCAGGAAAAGCCUCUAAGCAUCAGGUAACAUCAAAUCGUACCCCAAACCGACACAGGUGGUCAGGUAGAGAAUACCAAGGCGCUUGAGAGAACUCGGGUGAAGGAACUAGGCAAAAUGGUGCCGUAACUUCGGGAGAAGGCACGCUGACACGUAGGUGAAGUGAUUUACUCAUGGAGCUGAAGUCAGUCGAAGAUACCAGCUGGCUGCAACUGUUUAUUAAAAACACAGCACUGUGCAAACACGAAAGUGGACGUAUACGGUGUGACGCCUGCCCGGUGCCGGAAGGUUAAUUGAUGGGGUCAGCGCAAGCGAAGCUCCUGAUCGAAGCCCCGGUAAACGGCGGCCGUAACUAUAACGGUCCUAAGGUAGCGAAAUUCCUUGUCGGGUAAGUUCCGACCUGCACGAAUGGCGUAAUGAUGGCCAGGCUGUCUCCACCCGAGACUCAGUGAAAUUGAACUCGCUGUGAAGAUGCAGUGUACCCGCGGCAAGACGGAAAGACCCCGUGAACCUUUACUAUAGCUUGACACUGAACAUUGAGCCUUGAUGUGUAGGAUAGGUGGGAGGCUUUGAAGUGUGGACGCCAGUCUGCAUGGAGCCGACCUUGAAAUACCACCCUUUAAUGUUUGAUGUUCUAACGUGGACCCGUUACCCGGGUUGCGGACAGUGUCUGGUGGGUAGUUUGACUGGGGCGGUCUCCUCCUAAAGAGUAACGGAGGAGCACGAAGGUUGGCUAAUCCUGGUCGGACAUCAGGAGGUUAGUGCAAUGGCAUAAGCCAGCUUGACUGCGAGCGUGACGGCGCGAGCAGGUGCGAAAGCAGGUCAUAGUGAUCCGGUGGUUCUGAAUGGAAGGGCCAUCGCUCAACGGAUAAAAGGUACUCCGGGGAUAACAGGCUGAUACCGCCCAAGAGUUCAUAUCGACGGCGGUGUUUGGCACCUCGAUGUCGGCUCAUCACAUCCUGGGGCUGAAGUAGGUCCCAAGGGUAUGGCUGUUCGCCAUUUAAAGUGGUACGCGAGCUGGGUUUAGAACGUCGUGAGACAGUUCGGUCCCUAUCUGCCGUGGGCGCUGGAGAACUGAGGGGGGCUGCUCCUAGUACGAGAGGACCGGAGUGGACGCAUCACUGGUGUUCGGGUUGUCAUGCCAAUGGCACUGCCCGGUAGCUAAAUGCGGAAGAGAUAAGUGCUGAAAGCAUCUAAGCACGAAACUUGCCCCGA
rnacentral:rRNA from 1 species